AAUGAAGAUUAACCCCCCAUAGUCUCUUUAAAUGGCAUCAUUUUUAGAGUAAAGGUUACGGUAUAAGAUGAGUAUGCGUUCUAUUAGUUUGUUGGUGAGGUAACGGCUCACCAAGACUGCGAUAGAUAGGGGCCCUGAGAGGGGGAUCCCCCACACUGGUACUGAGACACGGACCAGACUCCUACGGGAGGCAGCAGUGAGGAAUAUUGGACAAUGGAGGCAACUCUGAUCCAGCCAUGCCGCGUGCAGGAAGACUGCCCUAUGGGUUGUAAACUGCUUUAUACAGGAAGAAACCUUGGUACGUGUACCAAGCU
rnacentral:rRNA from 1 species